CUUAAACUAUUGAAUGAGGGUAGUAACUAUAAGUUGCUUUAUCUUCAGAGAGCCGCAGGUGCUGGAAUUGCGGUGGUAAAGUUUAUAGUGAAUGGGCUCAUGAAGGCGAUGCAGAAAUUCUUGUGAUGAGUAUGCUAGCCGGGAAUUCCACCCGUUAUCAAUGGAACAUGUAUGAUCGUACAUGAAGCGAGAGGCAUUUUAUGCAAUUUGGGUGGUACCGCAGAGACUAGAGUCUUUGUCCCUUAC
rnacentral:ncRNA from 1 species